rnacentral:rRNA from 1 species
UGAAUACGAGACGCUACGGCGUCGAAGCAGUGUAUGUCAGACUUCCAAGAAAAGCUCGCUAUGUCAUAAAUAAAAGAUGCCUGUACCAUAACCGACACAGGUGGGUAGGUAGAGUAUACUAAGGGGCGCGAGAUAACUCUCUCUAAGGAACUCGGCAAAAUAACUCCGUAACUUCGGGAGAAGGAGUGCCUUAUUUAUAAGGUUGCAAUAACAAGAUCCAAGCAACUGUUUAUCAAAAACACAGGUCUCCGCUAAGUCGUAAGACGAUGUAUGGGGGCUGACGCCUGCCCAGUGCCAGAAGGUUAAAGAAGUUGGUUAGUUUCGACGAGGCUGAUGACUGAAGCCCUGGUGAACGGCGGCCGUAACGAUAACGGUCCUAAGGUAGCGAAAUUCCUUGUCGGGUAAGUUCCGACCCGCACGAAAGGCGUAAUGAUUUGGAUACUGUCUCGGAGAGGGACUCGGUGAAAUAGACUUGUCUGUGAAGAUGCGGACUACCUGCACCAGGACAGAAAGACCCUAUGAAGCUUUACUGUAACUUGAAAUUGAAAUUGGACUUUGUUUGCGCAGUAUAGGUGGGAGGCGUUGAGAAUAUUCUUGCGGGAAUAUUGGAGCCAUCAGUGAGAUACCACUCCUAUAAUGUUAGAUUUCUAACUUUGUAUCAUAAUCUGGUCAAAGAACAGUUUCAGGCGGGCAGUUUGACUGGGGCGGUCGCCUCCCAAAUGGUAACGGAGGCGUACAAAGGUUUCCUCUGAACGGGUAGAAAUCGUAUCUAGAGUAUAAAGGCAUAAGGAAGCUUGACUGUGAGACCUACAAGUCGAGCAGGGACGAAAGUCGGUCUUAGUGAUCUGACGGUGCUGAGUGGAAAGGCCGUCACUCAACGGAUAAAAGUUACUCUAGGAUAACAGGCUGAUCUCCCCCAAGAGUUCACAUCGACGGGGAGGUUUGGCACCUCGAUGUCGGCUCAUCGCAUCCUGGGGCGGUAGUACGUCCCAAGGGUUGGGCUGUUCGCCCAUGAAAGCGGUACGCGAGCUGGGUUCAGAACGUCGUGAGACAGUUCGGUCCAUAUCCGGUGUAGGCGUUAGAAUAUUGAGAGGAGCCUUCUUUAGUACGAGAGGACCGAGAAGGACAUACCUCUGGUGUACCAGUUAUCGUGCCAACGGUAAACGCUGGGUAGCUAUGUAUGGAGAGGAUAACCGCUGAAAGCAUCUAAGUGGGAAGCCCACCUCAAGAUGAGUAUUCC